UUUGGUUAAGUUAGAAAGGGCGCACGGUGGAUGCCUUGACACUAGGAGUCGAUGAAGGACGGGACUAACGCCGAUAUGCUUCGGGGAGCUGUAAGUAAGCUUUGAUCCGAAGAUUUCCGAAUGGGGAAACCCACCAUACGUAAUGGUAUGGUAUCCUUAUCUGAAUACAUAGGGUAAGGAAGACAGACCCAGGGAACUGAAACAUCUAAGUACCUGGAGGAAGAGAAAGCAAAUGCGAUUUCCUGAGUAGCGGCGAGCGAAACGGAACAUAGCCCAAACCAAGAGGCUUGCCUCUUGGGGUUGUAGGACAUUCUAUACGGAGUUACAAAGGAACGAGGUAGACGAAGCGACCUGGAAAGGUCCGUCGUAGAGGGUAACAACCCCGUAGUCGAAACUUCGUUCUCUCUUGAAUGUAUCCUGAGUACGGCGGAACACGUGAAAUUCCGUCGGAAUCUGGGAGGACCAUCUCCCAAGGCUAAAUACUCCCUAGUGAUCGAUAGUGAACCAGUACCGUGAGGGAAAGGUGAAAAGCACCCCGGAAGGGGAGUGAAAGAGAUCCUGAAACCGUGUGCCUACAAAUAGUCAGAGCCCGUUAACGGGUGAUGGCGUGCCUUUUGUAGAAUGAACCGGCGAGUUACGAUCCCGUGCGAGGUUAAGCUGAAGAGGCGGAGCCGCAGCGAAAGCGAGUCUGAAUAGGGCGUUUAGUACGUGGUCGUAGACCCGAAACCAGGUGAUCUACCCAUGUCCAGGGUGAAGUUCAGGUAACACUGAAUGGAGGCCCGAACCCACGCACGUUGAAAAGUGCGGGGAUGAGGUGUGGGUAGCGGAGAAAUUCCAAUCGAACCUGGAGAUAGCUGGUUCUCCCCGAAAUAGCUUUAGGGCUAGCCUUAAGUGUAAGAGUCUUGGAGGUAGAGCACUGAUUGGACUAGGGGUCCUCAUCGGAUUACCGAAUUCAGUCAAACUCCGAAUGCCAAUGACUUAUCCUUAGGAGUCAGACUGCGAGUGAUAAGAUCCGUAGUCAAAAGGGAAACAGCCCAGACCGCCAGCUAAGGUCCCAAAGUGUGUAUUAAGUGGAAAAGGAUGUGGAGUUGCUUAGACAACUAGGAUGUUGGCUUAGAAGCAGCCACCAUUUAAAGAGUGCGUAAUAGCUCACUAGUCGAGUGACUCUGCGCCGAAAAUGUACCGGGGCUAAAUACACCACCGAAGCUGCGGAUUGAUACCAAUGGUAUCAGUGGUAGGGGAGCGUUCUAAGGACAGUGAAGUCAGACCGUAAGGACUGGUGGAGUGCUUAGAAGUGAGAAUGCCGGUAUGAGUAGCGAAAGACGGGUGAGAAUCCCGUCCACCGAAUGCCUAAGGUUUCCUGAGGAAGGCUCGUCCGCUCAGGGUUAGUCAGGACCUAAGCCGAGGCCGACAGGCGUAGGCGAUGGACAACAGGUUGAUAUUCCUGUACCACCUCUUUAUCGUUUGAGCAAUGGAGGGACGCAGAAGGAUAGAAGAAGCGUGCGAUUGGUUGUGCACGUCCAAGCAGUUAGGCUGAUAAGUAGGCAAAUCCGCUUAUCAUAAAGGCUGAGCUGUGAUGGGGAAGCUCCUUAUGGAGCGAAGUCUUUGAUUCCCCGCUGCCAAGAAAAGCUUCUAGCGAGAUAAAAGGUGCCUGUACCGCAAACCGACACAGGUAGGCGAGGAGAGAAUCCUAAGGUGUGCGAGAGAACUCUGGUUAAGGAACUCGGCAAAAUGACCCCGUAACUUCGGGAGAAGGGGUGCUUUCUUAACGGAAAGCCGCAGUGAAUAGGCCCAAGCGACUGUUUAGCAAAAACACAGCUCUCUGCGAAGCCGUAAGGCGAAGUAUAGGGGGUGACACCUGCCCGGUGCUGGAAGGUUAAGGAGAGGGGUUAGCGUAAGCGAAGCUCUGAACUGAAGCCCCAGUAAACGGCGGCCGUAACUAUAACGGUCCUAAGGUAGCGAAAUUCCUUGUCGGGUAAGUUCCGACCCGCACGAAAGGUGUAACGAUUUGGGCACUGUCUCAACCAGAGACUCGGUGAAAUUAUAGUACCUGUGAAGAUGCAGGUUACCCGCGACAGGACGGAAAGACCCCGUGGAGCUUUACUGUAGCCUGAUAUUGAAUUUUGGUACAGUUUGUACAGGAUAGGCGGGAGCCAUUGAAACCGGAGCGCUAGCUUCGGUGGAGGCGCUGGUGGGAUACCGCCCUGACUGUAUUGAAAUUCUAACCUACGGGUCUUAUCGACCCGGGAGACAGUGUCAGGUGGGCAGUUUGACUGGGGCGGUCGCCUCCUAAAGUGUAACGGAGGCGCCCAAAGGUUCCCUCAGAAUGGUUGGAAAUCAUUCGUAGAGUGCAAAGGCAUAAGGGAGCUUGACUGCGAGACCUACAAGUCGAGCAGGGACGAAAGUCGGGCUUAGUGAUCCGGUGGUUCCGCAUGGAAGGGCCAUCGCUCAACGGAUAAAAGCUACCCCGGGGAUAACAGGCUUAUCUCCCCCAAGAGUCCACAUCGACGGGGAGGUUUGGCACCUCGAUGUCGGCUCAUCGCAUCCUGGGGCUGUAGUCGGUCCCAAGGGUUGGGCUGUUCGCCCAUUAAAGCGGUACGCGAGCUGGGUUCAGAACGUCGUGAGACAGUUCGGUCCCUAUCCGUCGUGGGCGUAGGAAAUUUGAGAGGAGCUGUCCUUAGUACGAGAGGACCGGGAUGGACGCACCGCUGGUGUACCAGUUGUUCUGCCAAGGGCAUAGCUGGGUAGCUAUGUGCGGAAGGGAUAAGUGCUGAAAGCAUCUAAGCAUGAAGCCCCCCUCAAGAUGAGAUUUCCCAUAGCGUAAGCUAGUAAGAUCCCUGAAAGAUGAUCAGGUUGAUAGGUUCGAGGUGGAAGCAUGGUGACAUGUGGAGCUGACGAAUACUAAUAGAUCGAGGACUUAACCAUAUAA
rnacentral:rRNA from 7 species